AUGACUACAAUUUUGAUGGCUUACAUUGGAUUUAUUCUCCUUGCCAUGCAUUUUUCAUCACAGGUCCACGCGCAAAAUGCUACAACACAGUCCCCUGCCAUGAAUGCUACGACCAAAGCUGGCGGUGCGAGUUCCAACAUGACCAAGAUGCCCGAUGCUACGACCAAAGCUGGCGGUGCGAGUUCCAACUUGACCAAGAUGCCCGAUGUCACCAAGAACAACAACAUUCCCAAAGGAGCCAGUGCACCCUUGCAGUCCAGCUCAGGCGUGCUCAUCAUACCCAUCAUGGUGGGGGGCUCACUACAGGGGCGCUUCUAGAGGGCUGUUGAGCAGGGAACAGACACCAGCAAGACUUUAACAUCAGCGGCCUAGAUCGGGCGAACUCUUCGACAAAGAGCCCAUUUAAAAAAAUAAUAAUAAUUAUGAGAAAGGCAGUCAUGUGCGUUCCUAACCGAAGAGUUCACUGAUGGGAAUUGUUAUAUUUCCUCACCUUCUGGCCGCUUCAAAACAGUAGGCCUUCACACCUCGCACACUGGCCCCAUGCCCAUAGGCUGAACUGGAAUAUGGAAUUGUAUGAGUUUGCAUAUGUGAGAUUUAAUUGUAUGAAUCAUGAUGUGAUCUGCUUAGAUUAGUUUUUAUGGCCAGGUUCAAUAAACCUUUGAAAUAUAGGAUACUUGUGACAAUUUUCUUGUAUAAUAAAAAUACUUUAACAUAUUGUUUCUUCCCCUGUCUCUAAAUUCUAAAGCUUGACCUGACAAGUAAUUUGCUGUUCCUCUUGUCUCCAGCCCCUUUAUUGAUCACAUAGCUAAACCCAGGGAUUUCUUAAGGUAGACUCGGUUUGAUGUGCCACAAUUUAAAUCCUUAUUUUAGAAUGGGGUAUAGGAAUGUUCACCUUUGGCCAGUUGUAGCAUUUAUGCCAUGUCAACUAGGACAUGACCCUUGAAUUCCUUGUGUGGACUAAAUGGUAUAAGCUUCCUGACAGUUGACUUGCAGGCUGCUUUAAUUAGAUUUACUUUACCCUAGCUACAUUGACCUGUGACCAGUCAUUUACUUACUAGCCUACAAAGAUGUUCAGGGGAAGGCUGGCUGUAAAAUAUAUUUGAACUUACACUAGUUUCUUGACACUGGGUCUUGCUGGCUGGCUCUCAACCAAAGGGAUGCAUAACUUUUUAGAAUGGUGACGUUGAGCCCAUAAAUCUAGACCAGGGAUUCUAAGCUGACUAAGGUUAUACCAAGGAUAAUUUUGUCACCUCGAAUCAAUGUAAUUGACAUUCCUGCUAUUAGCCCAUACAGUUUGUCCCAAAUUCUGUCCUAGAUCUGAGAUCAGGACACUUUGGUACAAUGUAUUUACUGUCUAGGCACCAUUUUUCAACCGAUACUGUGGGACCUUCACGCAAUGUUUGUCUCACCUUUCCAGAGCGUUUGUAGUGUGUAGACUACUCAUAUGCUACAGACUUGUUUAGAGGCUGUUCAGUCUAGUCCCAAGAUGGUUGUAGCGAAACCGAAUGUCUUGCAAGCGAUGUGAGUAGACUGAUUUUCGGGAUGUCUCAUGGUCUUACUAACGCUCUCCUUAGUUAUAUUGACUACGUCAGUCCUAGCUCGCUCAUUGUCUUGAUAACAAUUUCGGAUUGCCUCAUCUGCUUUUUGUCCCCUUAUGCCACAAUUUGAACAUUCAAUUGUCAUUAGAAUCUACAUUUGUUUAAUCAAGUCCGCCAUAUCAGCUAUCUUUUUUUUUUAAAGGCAGUACAUGAGUCUGAAUGAACUGUUUGGCUGCCAGACAAGGCUCUGCUGAUAGCCAGGUGUAACAGCGGUAAGAUGUUGGGACAGCUUUAUGUAGGCCCAAACAGUUUGUGGGCACCGUUUGUCACUGUUAUAGUGCAAUUCAUGUAUUGUUUAGUGUUGUGUAGUGCCUUUGCUCUCAUGCAUCCCACUUUUAAUUAUUUUUGGCCCACCAAGAUUUUCAUUUACACCUUCAGUCGGAAUCAGACCUUUGCCAUAGAUGUGCAGAAGUGUUGUUCAAGAAACAAAACAGAUCACAUCAAGAUGAAACAAGUCCCUCUUACAUUUCUACAUGAGCAUCACUAAAAGGUCCUCAAGUGAUUCAUAUGUAAUCUCAGCAAAAAAAUAAACAUCCUCUCACUGUCAACUGCGUUCAUUUACAGCAAACUUAACGAGUAAAUAUUUGUAUGAACAUAAGAUUCAACAACUGAGACAUAAACUGAACAAGUUCCACAGACGUGACUAACAUAAAAGGAAUAAUGUGUCCCUGAACAAUGGGGGAGGGGGGGGCGUCAAAAGUAAUAAUCAGUAUCUGGUGUGGCCACCAGCUGCAUUAAAUACUGCAGUGCACUCUUCCACAAAGGCACCUGCAAGUUCCCGGACAUUUCUGGGGGGGGAAUGGCCCUAGCCCUCACCCUCCGAUCCAACCGCUCCAGACCAUGACGGACCUUCCAACUCGAUCCCGUUCCAGGGUACAGGCCUUGGUGAAACGCUCAUUCCUUCGACGAUAAACGCGAAUUCGACAAUCGCCCCUGAUGAGACAAAUCUGCGACUCAUCAGUGAAGAGCACUUUUUGCCAGUCCUGUCUGGUCCAGCGACGGUGGAUUUGUGCCCAUAGGUGACGUUGUUGCCGGUGAUAUCUGGUGAAGACCUGCCUUUACAACAGGCCUACAAGCCCUCAGUCCAGCCUCUCUCUGCCUAUUUGCUGACAGUCUGAGCACUGAUGGAGGAAUUGUACGUUCUUGGUGUAAAUCGGGCAGUUGUUGUUGCCAUCCUCUACCUGUCCCGCAGGUGUGAUGUUUGGAUGUACCGAUCCUGUGCAGGCAUGUUACACGUGGUCUGCGACUGCGAGGACGGUCAGCUGUCCGUCCUGUCUUUCUGUAGCGCUGUCUUAGGUAUCUCACAGUACGGACAUUGUCCUCAUGAGUCCUCAUGCCUCCUUGCAGCAUGCCUAAGGCACGUUCACGCAGAUGAGCAGGGACCCUGGGCAUCUUUCUUUUGGUGUUUUUCAGUUGGUAAGUUGGUAGAAAGGCCUAUUUAGUGUCCUAAGUUUUCAUAACUGUGACCUUAAUUGCCUACAGUCUGUAAGCUGUUAGAGUCUUAACAACCGUUCCACAGGUGCAUGUUCAUUAAUUGUUUAUGGUUCAUUGAACAAGCAUUGGAAAUAGUGUUUAAACCAUUUACAAUGAAGAUCUGUGAAGUUAUUUGGAUUUUUAUGAAUUAUCUUUGAAAGACAGGGUCCUGAAAAAGGGAUGUUUUUUUCAGAGUUUAUAUCCUUGGGGCUCAAGUGCAAGGAGUUUGCAUUGAUUUUACAUCCAUUUGUUUUAAUUUGAAUCCCUCUCUUUUGCAUCCAUCUCCAC
rnacentral:lncRNA from 13 species